rnacentral:rRNA from 1 species
UACGUAGGGGGCAAGCGUUAUCCGGAUUUACUGGGUGUAAAGGGAGCGUAGGCGGUUCAGCAAGUCAGAAGUGAAAGCCCGGGGCUCAACUCCGGGACUGCUUUUGAAACUGUUGAACUAGAUUGCAGGAGAGGUAAGUGGAAUUCCUAGUGUAGCGGUGAAAUGCGUAGAUAUUAGGAGGAACACCAGUGGCGAAGGCGGCUUACUGGACUGUAAAUGACGCUGAGGCGCGAAAGCGUGGGGAGCAAACAGG